GAGUAAUACGUAGGAAUCUACCUAAGAGAAGGGGAUAGUUAGUGGAAACACUAAGUAAUACCCUAUACUUCCUAAGGGAAAAAUGCAGGGGACUUUUUUAAAGCCUUGCGCUUUUAGAUGAGCUUACGGCGGAUUAAUUAGUUGGUAAGGUAAAGGCUUACCAAGAUGACGAUCCGUAGCUGGUCUGAGAGGAUGAUCAGCCACACUGGGAUUGAGAUACGGCCCAGACUCC
rnacentral:rRNA from 1 species